ensembl:lncRNA
AUGCAAGCCAUGAUCCCACACCUGUAUCCCAUGGAGCACCCCCACAGCCAUGGGAAGCUCUGGGCUACAGGAGGGGGGCUGGGGUGGGAUUUUGGGGCAGGCAGCUCCACUUGUGCCUGGGCAUGGGCUGCACUUUGGGAUAAAGAACAGGUUGCCUGGGGAAAUUGUGGCUGCCCCAUCCCUGGCAGUGUCCAAGGCCAGGUUGGACUGGGCUUGGAGCAACCUGGAACAGUGGAAGGUGCCCCUGCCCAUGGCAGGGGGUGGGACUGGAUGGGCUUUAAGGUCCCUUCCAACCCCAAGCAUUCCAUGUUCUGUGAUCUCACGGGGCUUCCCUUUAACUCUCACUUUCACCAGGUGAUUUAUUUCCCUAUCAGUCUCUCUGUUCUUCCAGAAACCAUCCAUGGGUCCAAGCCAGAGCAUCCUGGUGUGACAAGCCACUGGCAGCUGGAUUUGGAGCAGAAGUGGACAAACCAUAUGCAACAGGAACAGGACACCACCCUCCAGCAGAGGCUGUCCAGAGCCUCAUCCAGCCUGGCCUUGGACACUUCCAGGGAUAGCAGUUCCCUCCUGCCUUUCUCUCUAAACCCAAAAGGUCACUGUCAGACAGCAAAGCUGUGGCUUCUCCCGGGCUGGGACAUGGGACUGGAGAGGAUGGGAGUGAUCCCACUCUCUCCAGAGCCUUCAGGGCAGGAUGGGAGCCGCGACCCUGCCUGACUCACCCGGGAGCAGGGCUGAGCCUCUCCAAAGGAAAACUCGCAUUAAGCUCUGCCACAAGGCUCUGGCGACCAUAUGGAGCUGGGAGGGGGGUGGGGGCCAGCCCUGACCUUUAUUGUAGGGAGGGCAGUGCCACUGACCCCUCUCCCUGCCCCCCAGGGGUGGCUGUUCCCAGGCCACUCAGGUUGUUCCUCGCCGCUAAAGAAGACAAUUAAAUCCUUGAGCCCAGGUUUUAGUGUUUCCAUGUGCAGCCAAGUAUCUUAAUCUGGGCUGUUUGGGGAAUUUUUAUCCCGUGGAUCCCUUGGUAUGCCUGGAAUGUUUGCUUUUCCUACUGUGUGCGUGUGUUUGAGGCACUCCUGUAAAAACAAGAGCUUCCUGCCUGCCUUGUAAAUCUUUCCUUGAUUGGCAGAGCGGCCUUUGGUGAUUAAUCAAGGGGCACGACGGGGCUGACACCCCCCAGGAUUUACUCCUUGCAAAUCCCCAGCACGGUGGUGGGAGAGCUGGGAAGGGUCCCCGGGAGCUGGCUGCUCUCCAGAGCCCAGUGGUGACAUCGGUUUUCGGUAAGAGCCUGGGAGAGGAAGGGAAAAACGGAAAUUCCAGAGAGCUAAGGAAAUGCUCCAGAGGGCUGGGACUUGGGAGGCAUUUUCUAUUGUAUCAUCGGGAUAAAACACACAGCUCUGCCUGGAGGGAUUCACCCGCCGGCCAAACAAACCUUCCCACCUUGGAUGGGCUGGGAAUUGGGAGAUUUGUCCCAAACAAACCUUCCCACCUUGUCUGGGAAUUGGGAGAUUUAUCCCAAACAAACCUUCCCACCUUGGCUGGGAAUUGGGAGAUUUGUCCCAAACAAACCUUCCCACCUUGGCUGGGCUGGGAAUUGGGAGAUUUGUCCCACCCAAACAUUCCCACUGUGUUUGGGCUGGGAAUUGAGAGAUUUGUGCCAACCAAACCUUCCCACCUUGGCUGGGCUGGGAAUUGGGAGAUUUGUCCCACCCAAACAUUCCCACUGUGUUUGGGCUGGGAAUUGAGAGAUUUGUG